CGGCCGCGGUACCCUGACCGUGCUAAGGUAGCAUAAUCACCAGCCUCUUAAUUAGUGGCCCGUAUGAAUGGACAAACGAAAAUAUACCUGUCUCUAUAUAGCCUAUAAAACUUUAUCUUCAGGUGAAAAAGCCUGAAUAUCUCUAAAAGACAAAAAGACCCUGCAGAACCUAACUCAACCCUGUGGCAUUACAACUAUCAACCCGCACCACAAAGUUUAGAUGGGGCAUCUAAGGGGAACCAAAAAUACCCUUUCUUCACAAACUAAAACCCUCCUGACCCAUAAAUUAUGACCAAAGACAUAGGCUACCUCAGGGAUAACAGACUAAUCUUCCUUAAGAGCCCAAAUCGACAGGAAGGCUUGGCACCUCGAUGUUGGCUUAGGAGCCCCUGGGAGUGCAGCAGCCCCCAAGGCAGGUUUGUUCAACCUUCAAUAUCCUACGUGAUC
rnacentral:rRNA from 1 species